AGCGAUCAAAGAUUCUGAAAUAUUGAGGCCCUAUUUGAGAGUCAUACACUUAUACUAGUUUUAUUUGUUGUUGUUGUUUAUAAUCUGAAGAAAUGAACUUCAGCCAUCUAGAACAAAAAUAAUUGGAUUUGUUGGAGGGUUACGGACUGAGAAAAAGUUUGGUCAACCUUGUAGGGGAACCAGCCCGCUAUACCACCCGCGGGUUCUCCCCUUCCCAGUGGAGACGAGGGAAUGAGAAAAGAAAUAAAGACAAACACACAAAGUUCAAGAGUUAACAAAAGUGGGUCCAGGGGUCCAUCGCAAUGUGGAAACUGCGACAGCCCUGAGCUCUGGAUUCCACUGAUAUUUACUGAAUAAUCCUUAAAGUCCAACUAAUUGGUUAACAGAACAGGACGUGAAAGCAGACAGCCCGUCAGACCACAGGCCUGUGCAUCAAAGGAGCGGUCCACUCCAAGCACCAUCAGCAGGGCAGCAGAGCUCUCUGCCUCUGGGAACGAGCGAGAGAUAGAAGACUUUCCCCUUAUCCUCAGAGGACUUCUCCUCUUUUACAAGCAACCUCCUGCUGUUCCCUUCUGGGGAAUGGAGCAGGGGUCGCUUCCCUUCCCACAAGACCUUUGUUCAGGGACUCAAGUGGGAGGUUGAGCAAUAAGCAAGCUUUCUUGCUUAGAGGCUCCGCACACUUCCUGUGGUUGUUUGUUCCACCCUGCAGUUAGGCAAGCAAGCUCACCGCCUGAUUCUUAUAUUGUCGGACUAAGCAGAAGCUAUUCUUAUGAUUCAUGACUAUAUUAAUAAAGCACUAUUCUAAAGCA
ensembl:lncRNA novel transcript